rnacentral:misc_RNA from 1 species
AGUUAAACAGUACGUGAAAUUGUUGAAAGGGAAACGAUUGAAGCCAGUCGUACCUUCGGGUAAUCAGCCUUUCGGGUGCGAUUAUGUGGAGUGUGAGGAGCUUAAACACCUUCAUGUUUUGCAUAUUCGUACUCUUGGGUGUACUUGCCCGUAUGGUUGGUUAACAUCAAUUUUGGUGGUCAUAAAAUGACUGGAGGAAUGUAGCUUCGAUCUCGUAUUGAAGUGUUAUAGCCUUCGGUAGAUGUGAUGAUCGAGAUUGAGGAUUGCAACGGAUACCCUUCGGGGCUACCUGUCUGAUCUCUGAUCGUUGUUCUGGUGCCGAAAGCUUGCUUACGGUUAUCAAAGUCGAUGGUCAAUAGGUUAGAACGGGUUAAAUUCGUUAAGGAUGUUGACGUAAUGGCUUUAAA